AACUGCGAAUGGCUCAUUAAAUCAGUUAUCGUUUAUUUGAUAGUACCUUGCUACAUGGAUACCUGUGGUAAUUCUAGAGCUAAUACAUGCUGAAAACCCCGACUUCGGAAGGGGUGUAUUUAUUAGAUAAAAAACCAAUGCCCUUCGGGGCUCCUUGGUGAUUCAUAAUAACUUCACGAAUCGCAUGGCCUUGCGCCGGCGAUGGUUCAUUCAAAUUUCUGCCCUAUCAACUUUCGAUGGUAGGAUAGUGGCCUACCAUGGUGGCAACGGGUAACGGGGAAUUAGGGUUCGAUUCCGGAGAGGGAGCCUGAGAAACGGCUACCACAUCCAAGGAAGGCAGCAGGCGCGCAAAUUACCCAAUCCCGACACGGGGAGGUAGUGACAAUAAAUACUGAUACAGGGCUCUUUUGGGUCUUGUAAUCGGAAUGAGUACAAUCUAAAUCCCUUAACGAGGAACAAUUGGAGGGCAAGUCUGGUGCCAGCAGCCGCGGUAAUUCCAGCUCCAAUAGCGUAUAUUAAAGUUGUUGCAGUUAAAAAGCUCGUAGUUGAACCUUGGGUCUGGCUGGCCGGUCCGCCUCACCGCGAGUACUGGUCCGGCUGGACCUUUCCUUCUGGGGAACCCCAUGGCCUUCACUGGCCGUGGCGGGGAACCAGGACUUUUACUGUGAAAAAAUUAGAGUGUUCAAAGCAGGCCUUUGCUCGAAUACAUUAGCAUGGAAUAAUAGAAUAGGACGUGUGGUUCUAUUUUGUUGGUUUCUAGGACCGCCGUAAUGAUUAAUAGGGAUAGUCGGGGGCGUCAGUAUUCAGCUGUCAGAGGUGAAAUUCUUGGAUUUGCUGAAGACUAACUACUGCGAAAGCAUUCGCCAAGGAUGUUUUCAUUAAUCAGGGAACGAAAGUUAGGGGAUCGAAGACGAUCAGAUACCGUCGUAGUCUUAACCAUAAACUAUGCCGACUAGGGAUCGGACGGUGUUUCUAUUAUGACCCGUUCGGCACCUUACGAGAAAUCAAAGUUU
rnacentral:rRNA from 1 species